rnacentral:rRNA from 1 species
UAGGGAAUCUUCGGCAAUGGACGGAAGUCUGACCGAGCAACGCCGCGUGAGUGAAGAAGGUUUUCGGAUCGUAAAACUCUGUUGUUAGAGAAGAACAAGGAUGAGAGUAGAAUGUUCAUCCCUUGACGGUAUCUAACCAGAAAGCCACGGCUAACUACGUGCCAGCAGCCGCGGUAAUACGUAGGUGGCAAGCGUUGUCCGGAUUUAUUGGGCGUAAAGCGAGCGCAGGCCGUUUCUUAAGUCUGAUGUGAAAGCCCCCGGCUCAACCGGGGAGGGUCAUUGGAAACUGGGAAACUUGAGUGCAGAAGAGGAGAGUGGAAUUCCAUGUGUAGCGGUGAAAUGCGUAGAUAUAUGGAGGAACACCAGUGGCGAAGGCGGCUCUCUGGUCUGUAACUGACGCUGAGGCUCGAAAGCGUGGGGAGCAAACAGG